AUGCUGUGUUGCAUUGGCUGAAGCAUAAUGAUGUGCCUCAAUCUUGCAAUGUACCUCUAUCUUGCAUUGGACCAAGGUACUACUGAUGUCAUCACAUAAUGAGUCUUGCAUAAUUCAAGACAAAGGUGUCAAGACA
rnacentral:lncRNA from 1 species